UGGACGAAAGUCUGAUGGAGCAACGCCGCGUGAGUGAAGAAGGCCUUCGGGUCGUAAAGCUCUGUUGUUAGGGAAGAACAAGUAUCGGAGUAACUGCCGGUACCUUGACGGUACCUAACCAGAAAGCCACGGCUAACUACGUGCCAGCAGCCGCGGUAAUACGUAGGUGGCAAGCGUUGUCCGGAAUUAUUGGGCGUAAAGCGCGCGCAGGCGGUCCUUUAAGUCUGAUGUGAAAGCCCACGGCUCAACCGUGGAGGGUCAUUGGAAACUGGGGGACUUGAGUGCAGAAGAGGAAAGCGGAAUUCCACGUGUAGCGGUGAAAUGCGUAGAGAUGUGGAGGAACACCAGUGGCGAAGGCGGCUUUCUGGUCUGUAACUGACGCUGAGGCGCGAAAGCGUGGGGAGCAAACAGGAUUAGAUACCCUGGUAGUCCACGCCGUAAACGAUGAGUGCUAAGUGUUAGGGGGUUUCCGCCCCUUAGUGCUGCAGCUAACGCAUUAAGCACUCCGCCUGGGGAGUA
rnacentral:rRNA from 1 species